rnacentral:lncRNA from 1 species
CAGUAAUGCCAUUCUUUAUGGUCAACAAACAACAUCUAAAUUAAAUAUGCUUCCAUAUGUACAGUCGUUGAACUAAAUAUGAUAACAUGUUUACAGUCAAAAAGGUUAAAACAUAAAUCUUACAAACAAAGUAAAAUAGUUACAUUUGCAAUUUCAACUUUACAUCUUUUUAACAGGAUAUUAAUCCAACAUUCAUUUCUUAUAAAAAUAUCAAAAAGAGGCACCUAAAAGCCUAAAACACUCAUCUAGUAAAAAUAUGCCAGUCUGAUAAUUAGUUUCACCUUUACUGCAAUCAGUUAUUCUUGCUUAUUGUAAAUCUUAUUUCGAGAUGGGUUUGUAAAUCUCGUAUUAAAAAUCUCUUUUUUUAUAAGUAUAGUUCAUACUUAUCUAUUUAUGUUUUUGAGAUACUUUUAGAUAUUUUUUAUACGAAAAAUGCAAAUAAAUGGUUUGGCAUCUUAGAAAUUUGGACCAUGUUGAUUCAGUUGUGGAUCUUAUCUUGCUGAAAUUUUAUGCUUAUCACACAGUAGUGUAGAGUACUGCUCCUAUUAACAUGGGUAAAAAAAAUCUUACAACGGCGAAAACUAUUAACAGUCAAUCAACAAGGUCAACCAUGCUGAAUUAUUUGUGAAUUUUAUUUUGCUUAACAUCUUUGAUAAUUCCAACAUUGCUCUAUUUUUAAUGGUUUCUGCAAAAAAUGGAUAAAAUGGGUAAACAAAAAUUUCAAAUGCAAAAAAAAUUAAAUUACAAAAACACUGAACUCCCUACUUUAAAGUUCAAUCAACAAUUUUGAUAACUGUUUUAUUGUUUUAUUGUCCUGGUUAUUGUUACUGUCUUAAAGUUUUAUCUAUUUAAAAUAAUAGCAAAAAACUUUAAAAAAAAAAAAGUUUAAAUGUACAUUUCAGGGUCAAUAACUCUGAAAUGAAUUGUUUGAUAUAUAUCUGAAAAUUACUUAGGCAAAAGACUUUGACUUGCUGAUCAAUUCUAGCCACAUACUGCUUUAGUUUAAGAGAAACAGGCCAAAAACUGCAUGUUUAUUAUCAGCAACAGUGUCCAUGUUUAUUGAUGGAAGGAAGUCAAUUUACAAUUUUAAACAAGAUUUUCUUUGGAAUAUUAAGGUAGUUUGGUAACAUUAGUUCCAGUAGUUUCCAUGGAGAAGAUCUUUAUGACAGAUGACUGAUGCCAAGUGAUGUCAAAGGUCAGGUGAGCUAAAAACUGUACUGCAAGGUUACCAUUGAUAAGGUUAAAUGGUAAAAAUAAAUUUACAUGGUGACAUUUAAAACUUCUAAUUCAAAGUUAUUCCAUUGGUUGUAAAUAAUUAAAAUUUGAUCACAGUUUUAUUACAUCUCUGAUUCUCAUAUUUAAUUAAGUGACAAAUGUUUAUCCAGAUUUGCAAUUCUUUUUUUACCAAUUUACUUUAAAAGUCCAAAUAGUUUUGACGUUUUUUUAACUGACAUUGUAAAAUCCAAU